UUGUACUGUGAUUUCAGGAGUGUCUUACAAACCCUCUAAAACAGAGGGGAAGUUCCAAGAAAAUUUCUAAUGGGAGCUGCUGACAGAGAUAGAAAACACAGUUUGUUUAUUUCUAAUAAGGAGCUGGAGGCUGUGGAGAAGCAGAUCCGUGACCUCGUGGAGAAGCAGGCCCUGCUGAGAGAGUGGAGAGCUGUGCUGGAAACAUUCAGGGGUUGACGCUCAUAAGUCCAGGGGCAGUUUGUGAAGACAGAUAAUCAAGAGAAGUCAGUUCCAGAUCCACACCAGACCUCUCUCUCACGAGGAUUGCUGUCUACUAGCAUAUUGUGUUCUCUUCAGACUUCGGGGGAUGCAGAUAUUACUCAGGGACAUGAACACUUGAAUAUUGCAAGAAUAGAGAAAGUAAGAAUUACUUAAGAUUUUAGAAUUGAAUGUUAAUUGCUUAAACAUAUAUACAUAUAUAUAUUAUUUUUUUUGAGAUUCAUUAAACUUGAUUUGCUAUAAUACAUCUGUUCAUAAGCUAUUGCAUAUUAUUUUCAAUGAAUUAUUUGUAGUGGUUUGGUUAAGGGUGUGAUUAGCUGACGUAUUAUUUGUGGGAGCUUGUGAUUAGUUGAUGAAUGUGUGCAUUGUUAAUGCUAAUAUUUAAAUGCAAUGUACUGAGUGCCUACUAUGACUUGCAUGUUUGUGCAUAAUGUUUUGACCCUGGAUGCUUACAGAAGGGUAUAGAUAUUUAAAUAUAUGGAAAUGUAUUUAUUAUUAAUAUAUCUCAAUCUAUGUGCUUCUGUAUGGGCUGAAUGCUUUCAAUCAUAUUUCGCUGUAUAUCCUAUGUUUUUAUUAAUAAUCUGGGUGUAUUACUGUUCAUAUUUGCUUGUUAAUAAAUUAACUGAAUUCA